GAACAGCCACUGAUUGAGAACCGUUCCAGAACCUUACGGUGCAGCAGUCGAGAAUCUCACAAUUGGGCGACCUGAUGAGGCGACGCCGCGUGGAGGAUAAGUCUUCGGAUUGUAAACUCCUGUCAUGUGUGACAUGUGCAGGGCUACACCUUUGCAAAUGAUGUACACAGAGGAAGAGACGGCUACUCUGUGCCAGCAGCGCGUAAUACAGAGGUCUCAGCGUGUCGGAAUCACUGGGCGUAAAGGGUGCGUAGGUGGCGUGGUAAGUCAGAUGUGAAAGCCCGGGGCUCAACCUCGGAAUUGCAUCCGAUACUGCCAUGCUCGAGUACUGAAGAGGUGACUAGAAUUCUAGGUGUAGCAGUGAAAUGCGUAGAUAUCUAGAGGAAUACCAAAGGCGAAGGCAGGUCACUGGGCAGUUACUGACACUGAGGCACGAAGGCCAGGGUAGCGAACGGGAUUAGAUACCCCGGUAGUCCUGGCAGUAAACGGUGCACGUUUGGUAUGGGCGCAAUCGACCGCGCCCGUGCCGGAGCUAACGCGUUAAACGUGCCGCCUGGGAAGUACGGUCGCAAGAUUAAAACUCAAAGAAAUUGACGGGGACCCGCACAAGCGGUGGAGUAUGUGGCUUAAUUCGAUGCAACGCGAAGAACCUUACCUGGUC
rnacentral:rRNA from 1 species